GGGCUUUUAGCUCAAAUGGUAGAGCGCUCGCUUAGCAUGUGAGAGGUAGGGAGAUCGAUACUCCCAAAGUCCA
rnacentral:tRNA from 1 species